rnacentral:pre_miRNA from 1 species
CUCCCCUUUUCUACAUUCAAGCCGGGUUUCGAAGAGAGAGAGCACAGCCCUGGACUUUUCUCAUGUGACCGAUUUUAGCGGUACAUGGUGCACUGUCAUCGGGCUGUUCUCUCUCUCUUCUAGACCCUACUUGGAUGUGUUUCUACUGC